UACGAGGGGGGCUAGCGUUGCUCGGAAUCACUGGGCGUAAAGCGCACGUAGGCGGCUUGUUAAGUCAGGGGUGAAAUCCUGGAGCUCAACUCCAGAACUGCCUUUGAUACUGGCGAUCUCGAGUCCGGGAGAGGUGAGUGGAACUGCGAGUGUAGAGGUGAAAUUCGUAGAUAUUCGCAAGAACACCAGUGGCGAAGGCGGCUCACUGGCCCGGUACUGACGCUGAGGUGCGAAAGCGUGGGGAGCAAACAGG
rnacentral:rRNA from 1 species